rnacentral:lncRNA from 1 species
GGGUUAAUAUCUCUGGACAAUAAGUGGUAUCAGAGUAGAUGCUUAAUGCUUUGAUUUAACUAUCAAAAGCUAAAGGUCAUGGCAACAGAGUUUGGUACUUUAAUUAAUAAGGGACAAUCUAUAAAUAGGCUACCUCUUUUUAAUGACAUAAACUAUACUUGUUUGAAAGUAUGAAUGAAAAUUUUUAUACAAGCAUAAGAUUAUGAUAUGCAGAAUGUUAUAAUUAAUGGUCCUUAUACAUUUAUGAUUUUGAUUGAUAGCAUGCCUUUUCCUAAACCUAAAAAGGAUUGGAAUGAUAAUGAUAAAAGAUUGGCUCAUUUAAAUGCUA